rnacentral:rRNA from 1 species
UGGGGAAUAUUGCACAAUGGGCGCAAGCCUGAUGCAGCCAUGCCGCGUGUGUGAAGAAGGCCUUCGGGUUGUAAAGCACUUUCAGCGAGGAGGAAGGUGGUGAGCUUAAUACGCUCAUCAAUUGACGUUACUCGCAGAAGAAGCACCGGCUAACUCCGUGCCAGCAGCCGCGGUAAUACGGAGGGUGCAAGCGUUAAUCGGAAUUACUGGGCGUAAAGCGCACGCAGGCGGUUUGUUAAGUCAGAUGUGAAAUCCCCGGGCUCAACCUGGGAACUGCAUUUGAAACUGGCAAGCUAGAGUCUCGUAGAGGGGGGUAGAAUUCCAGGUGUAGCGGUGAAAUGCGUAGAGAUCUGGAGGAAUACCGGUGGCGAAGGCGGCCCCCUGGACGAAGACUGACGCUCAGGUGCGAAAGCGUGGGGCAGCAAACAGGAUUAGAUACCCUGGUAGUCCACGCUGUAAACGAUGUCGAUUUUGGAGGUUGUGCCCUUGAGGCGUGGCUUCCGGAGCUAACGCGUUAAAGUCGACCGCCUGGGGAGUACGGCCGCAAGGUUAAAACUUAAAGGAAUUGACGGGGUC